AGUCGAGCGGUAACAGAUCUAGCUUGCUAGAUGCUGACGAGCGGCGGACGGGUGAGUAACGCGUAGGAAACUGCCGAGUAGUGGGGGAUAGCCCAGAGAAAUUUGGAUUAAUACCGCAUACGCCCUACGGGGGAAAGGAGGGGAUCUUCGGACCUUUCGCUAUUCGAUGUGCCUGCGUGAGAUUAGCUUGUUGGUGAGGUAAAGGCUCACCAAGGCGACGAUCUCUAGCUGGUUUGAGAGGAUGAUCAGCCACGCUGGGACUGAGACACGGCCCAGACUCCUACGGGAGGCAGCAGUGGGGAAUAUUGCACAAUGGGGGAAACCCUGAUGCAGCCAUGCCGCGUGUGUGAAGAAGGCCUUCGGGUUGUAAAGCACUUUCAGCAGUGAGGAAAGGUUGUAAGUUAAUACCUUGCAGCUAUGACGUUAACUGCAGAAGAAGGACCGGCUAACUCCGUGCCAGCAGCCGCGGUAAU
rnacentral:rRNA from 1 species